GACGUAGGGCGCGGGCGUGUCCGGAUUUAUUGGGCGUAAAGAGCUCGUAGGCGGCUUGUCGCGUCGACUGUGAAAACCCGCGGCUCAACUGCGGGCCUGCAGUCGAUACGGGCAGGCUAGAGUGCGGUAGGGGUGACUGGAAUUCCUGGUGUAGCGGUGGAAUGCGCAGAUAUCAGGAGGAACACCGAUGGCGAAGGCAGCUCGCUGGGACGGUACUGACGCUGAGACGCGAAAGCGUGGGGAGCGAACAGG
rnacentral:rRNA from 1 species